GAUGAACGCUGGCGGCGUGCUUAACACAUGCAAGUCGAACGGAAAGGCCGAAGCUUGCUUCGGUACUCGAGUGGCGAACGGGUGAGUAACACGUGGGUGAUCUGCCCUGUACUUCGGGAUAAGCUUGGGAAACUGGGUCUAAUACCGGAUAUGACAAUCUCUUGGAUGGGGUUGUGGAAAGCUUUUGCGGUAUGGGAUGAGCUCGCGGCCUAUCAGCUUGUUGGUGGGGUAAUGGCCUACCAAGGCGUCGACGGGUAGCCGGCCUGAGAGGGUGUACGGCCACAUUGGGACUGAGAUACGGCCCAGACUCCUACGGGAGGCAGCAGUGGGGAAUAUUGCACAAUGGGCGCAAGCCUGAUGCAGCGACGCCGCGUGGGGGAGGACGGCCUUCGGGUUGUAAACUCCUUUCGCAACCGACGAAGCUUUUUGUGACGGUAGGUUGAGAAGAAGCACCGGCUAACUACGUG
rnacentral:rRNA from 1 species